rnacentral:rRNA from 1 species
UACGUAGGGUGCAAGCGUUAUCCGGAAUUAUUGGGCGUAAAGAGCUCGUAGGCGGCUUGUCACGUCGGAUGUGAAAGCCCGGGGCUUAACUCCGGGUCUGCAUUCGAUACGGGCUGGCUAGAGUGUGGUAGGGGAGAUCGGAAUUCCUGGUGUAGCGGUGAAAUGCGCAGAUAUCAGGAGGAACACCGGUGGCGAAGGCGGAUCUCUGGGCCAUUACUGACGCUGAGGAGCGAAAGCGUGGGGAGCGAACAGG